UCCCGGUGUGUCCCGGGGUGUCCCGGGGGGGUGUCCCGGUGUGUCCCGGUGUGUCCCGGGGGGGUGUCCCGGUGUGUCCCGGGGUGUCCCGGGGGGGUAUCCCGGUGUGUCCCGGGGCUCACGGGGCUGUCCCGCUGUCCCAGGAGGGGCUGGAGGAGGCGCGGCGGGCGCUGGCGGAGGCGCGGCGGGAGAAGGGAAUGCUCCGGGAGCAGCUCCGGGAACAGCGGGAGCUGGGAAUGCUGCGGGAACCGGGAAUGCCGAAGGAACCGGGAAUGCCGAAAGAACCGGGAAUGCUGCGGGAGCAGCUCCAGGAGCCGGGAAUGCCGAAAGAGCCGGGAAUGCCACCGGAACCGGGAAUGCCACCGGAGCCCUCCGAGGACCCACAGGACGAGGUCUGUGUGUCCGGGCAGGAGCGGGAGCCUCCCGGCCGGGCUGGAUCCCCGCAAAUCCCCGCGGGCUCGGCCGAGCGGGAGCUGGAGGAGGCUCGGAAGCGCAUCCAGGUGCUGCGGGCGCAGCUCUCGGUGCUGGAGCUCCGGGCCCGGCCGGUUCCCCGGGGAGCGGAUCCGGCUCGGCCGGGGGGACCUGGAGGAGCAGAUCGCGCUGCUCAAGGAGCAGGAGCUGCAGCGCCAUCCCAGCGGGAUUUAGGGAAUUCCAUCCAGCGGGAUUUAAGGAAUUCCAUCCAGCGGGAUUUAAGGAAUUCCACCCAGCGGGAUUUAAGGAAUUCCACCCAGCGGGAUUUAGGGAAUUCCAUCCUCUCAGGGCUGAGCCAGCCCCAUCCCGGCCCGUUCUGUCUCCUCGUUCCCUUCCCUCCGGGAAAAAGCCGCACUUUUCCCACCAGCCGACAAAAUUUGUCUGUUUUUUAAACAAUUUUGGACCUCAUGGAUGGUUCACCCCAUUUUCCUGCUGCGGUUUUAAACGGGAAAAAGAAAAAAUAAAUGGAAAAUAUUCCCUUUUUUUAGCCCCA
rnacentral:lncRNA from 1 species